rnacentral:lncRNA from 1 species
UUUCUCUAUCAAGAGUUGCUUCCAUGCUGUGAAAAUACUAUUCAGAUUUUACAUUUGGAUUCUGGAGGCGAUUGGAUUAUUAGUGUGAUAUUCAAACUGUGCCAGGCGUUGAAUUUUGCAACAUAGUAUGGCAUGUAGGAAGCAAUACAUGUUACAUGACCGGGUAGCUGAAAUUGGUUUGGAGCUUGUGACUUAUUUCAUGCUAUAGUUGUCUAAGAGCAAUUCAGUAGGCAGGGAUAGCAUCAGAUUUGGUUAUGUUGUUCUGUGCAUUUUUUUUCAUGGAUGUUUUUACUUUAUGUGCAUAUCUUCGUAGUAAUCUGGCUCGAAGUUUGAGCAGCCAGCAAGUUCAUCUAUAAAUUGUCGUAAAGCAUGGAUUUGGAUUGGGAUUGCUGGUGCAUCAUCGAGGAGCUGCCAUGAACUUAAAGAGUUACCUAGAAAACUUUAAAAAUCCAGGCUGCGAUUCUUGCUGCUACUUUGAAAGUGGUGUCAUCACACUACUCCCAAAUCAUACCACUUUACCAGUAAGGCUACUCUGAAUUUGGACUUGUAUCUCCUAUUAUUAGUCUUCUUCUUGAAGAUAAGUCAGCAUUUAUAAAGUUUGUCUACACUCAAUCUGAAAAAUAAAUAAAUAUAAACAAGAAAGAGAACAGGGAUUGUGAUAAUGGAUUUGUGGGUGAACC